GCGCCAUUCACUUGACCCAUUAUGUCUUCAUCCAAUGGUGGGAUUAAGAUCCAAUGGUCAAUUAUGGUAGCCAUCCUCUAACCCAAUCCAAUUGGGUUAAACCAACUCUCCAUUAUGUCUUCAUCCAAUGGUAGAUCAAGAUCUAACGGUCUAGAUUGAAUGAUUUAUUAAAUCUAAUCUAAUUAGACUCAAACCAAGCCAAUUAGGUGCCAACUCUUGGCUAACUCAUAUUAGAAUAUGAUCUAAUCAAAUUAGAUCAAUUAAGAAUCAGAUUCGAAUCCAAUUCGAAUCAGAUUUGAAUCCAAUUCGAAUUA
rnacentral:lncRNA from 1 species